UUCAGUGAUGAAAUAGCUGCAUAGGAAGUGCCGUCUGAAGGCGAAUCUGACGCUGGCUAAAGCUGCUCUGAGA